rnacentral:lncRNA from 1 species
ACGUGGGCAACUGUAUCCCCGCCCACAAUGGCGAAGUGAGGCGGGGCCGAAGGCGGGGCCGAGGGGCGGGCUUGGAGGACGGGACGGGGGUGCGGCUAGAAGAGGAGGAGACUGAUACGGGGGGGAGGAGCUGAAGCCGUCUCUGGUGGAGAGUGUGCGUCAUGACGUCAUGGCUCAGAGUACUUAUAUACAGGCGCCUGGCCGCCAUCUCGGUCUUUCGUGGCUGCGAGCUGGCCGUUCCUGUGAGUUGUUCUUUGCUGCUAAGAACCGCGGCAGGCAUGACUCCAAUGUGGAUUUUGAUGGCUUCUGUUGGGCAGUUGUGUACCAGAAGGAUGACAACUACUGCUGGGGUGUUAAAGCGCAAGCUUGGUGCUGUGUCUAUGAGCAGACAGCCAUUAAGCAGUCUUGACUGGAAGUUGAAGAGGUAAG